AAAAUAUUGAUUGUCUAAGUUUAGUUUCUCCCCCUGAAUUCAGCAUUGGGUAACCCCUCCUUAGUUUGUUCUUCUUCUGUGGUUUCUUCUUUAUAUGUUGGGCGCUCGCUUUCCCUCUCCCCUUCCUGUUUUACUGUUCGGUGGGAGAGGAGCUAAAACGGGCAGCUAACACGCGAUUUCUGUGUCUUUCCUUUCUGGAAAACUGUCAGAUCCGCAAUAAAUGGAGGUGAUCUCCGAGGGUG